UCGGGGGCUUUGUGCUGGGGCUCGUCUGGCUGGCGCUGGGGCUCUUCCUCUUCCUGCGCAGUAAGAAAGUUUCAGGGCACCCCGAUCCACCCCCUCCAGGGAUCCCAAACUAGCAGCUGCCCCACGCCGCUGCUCCACCAGCGUGUCCUGCACUCCCCAGCCAGGAGCUGAGUUUCCCUUUGUGUUGUCACCGUGCUCCCUGCUGCCGCUGCAGAGCCUGCUCUGUCCCCUUCUCCAUAGGAACUCGCUGAGAUGUUGA